rnacentral:rRNA from 1 species
UACGAAGGGGGCUAGCGUUGCUCGGAAUCACUGGGCGUAAAGCGCACGUAGGCGGCUUUUUAAGUCAGGGGUGAAAUCCUGGAGCUCAACUCCAGAACUGCCUUUGAUACUGAGAAGCUUGAGUCCGGGAGAGGUGAGUGGAACUGCGAGUGUAGAGGUGAAAUGCGCAGAUAUCAGGAAGAACACCCGUGGCUAAGGCGGCUCUCUAGUACGGUACUGACGCUGAGACGCGAAAGCGUGGGGAGCGAACAGG